GAGGUUGUGUUCUGCUAAAGUCAAGAAGAAAACCAAGAAACAGGAAACCAUGAGAUGUAGCAGAAGAGGGAGGCAAAGUAAAAUCCUAGGAAGAUGCAACAAAAGUAUCAAGACCACAGCAAGCCUAGAUCAACCAGUCCAAGUCUGAAGGCCUGAGGACCAGGAGCACUGAUGAUACUGAGAAAACGUGGUCCUUUUGUCGGUAAAAGAGUUUGGUAUAACAACAUCAAUGCAUGCGGGAAUUGUUCCUUUCUGCCUAAAGUACAGUUUUGGGCUUCUCUGAAGACAUGUCAUUUUACCCAAGACCUGAAAGAUGAGGAUGGUCAAG
rnacentral:lncRNA from 1 species